rnacentral:rRNA from 1 species
ACGAACGCUGGCGGCAUGCCUAACGCAUGCAAGUCGAACGAGACCUUCGGGUCUAGUGGCGCACGGGUGCGUAACGCGUGGGAACCUGCCCUUAGGUUCGGAAUAACUCCCCGAAGGGGGUGCUAAUACCGGAUAAUGUCUUCGGACCAAAGAUUUAUCGCCUUUGGAUGGGCCCGCGUUGGAUUAGCUAGUUGGUAGGGUAAAAGCCUACCAAGGCGACGAUCCAUAGCUGGUCUGAGAGGAUGAUCAGCCACACUGGGACUGAGACACGGCCCAGACUCCUACGGGAGGCAGCAGUGGGGAAUAUUGGACAAUGGGCGAAAGCCUGAUCCAGCAAUGCCGCGUGAGUGAUGAAGGCCUUAGGGUUGUAAAGCUCUUUUACCCGGGAUGAUAAUGACAGUACCGGGAGAAUAAGCUCCGGCUAACUCCGUG